UCCUUCUCCACAGUGAACCAUUCAUCUCCCCCGUCUCUUGGCAAACCUGCGUAAGCCUGACAGAUCUCCGUGGAGAUAUCGCUUCCUCCGAGAGGCCUUCUCACCUCCGAUAAGCCCCGCCCAGCCUCAUGUAGUCAUCCAAAGGUGUCUAUUGGCAGCAACUCUGUAGCACAGAAAGCAAAUUUUCUCUCUGGAAGGUUGAGAAUUGAAAUAAAAUAUACAAUUUGUAACAGCUACCUGCAAAUUUGCCAACCAACAUACAAUCAUAAAAUGUGAUUAACUAUUUGAAAAGAAGCACUUCAAAGAUUAAAGAAAUGACUAAAGAAAGCAUUUAAGGCUUUAAAGAGUGGCUUCAAAAGCAGUACGAUGUUGUUUUCUGCAGAGUUGUAAGGGACACCCGAAUCUUGCCUUGGCACAGCCACCCUUCUCUGACGGAAUGCCUAAGGGAUACAGAUGAAAGGUAACAGAGAUUUCAAGAGUUAAGCACCAACGUGGUGCAAUUCAGCGUGUUCUUUUAAAUAAAUCUUCGCGGCUCUAUGGAGGCUGCUCUACGGAGGCUGGACUGUCACAGGUAGAGCCUGAUGCACGAAGAUGAGACCCUGAGAUUGGGCAAGCAGGAGAUGCUGCGCCAGGGUAGCAUGCAGCCAAGGUUGCUUUCGAGACACACACUCUAAGACAAGGGAGCCCAUUUGAAACGGGAGAAGGCGAACCCUGACUCUCCAGUUCAUGGGUCCAGCAUUUGGUCCAGGGAAGCAAGAUUUUUCCACCAGACCUGGAGGUGCCGGAGAGCUGCACAGAAUCAGGAACGGGUGGCCCCCUUAGGAAGGGGAAAACAUACAGCAAAAACUAGAUUUCCAAUAAUACACAUUGCAAGGUGGUUGACAGGGUAAAUUAAAGAAUGGAUA